GCUCUAAGAAAAGAAAGUUUUGGGCCUAGAGUCAGGAAAAAGCCUUUUCAAGUCAAGCUGAGAACUUUAAGGUGGUCUUGGCUACCUCAUUUUAUGCAAAGUAGGCAGAAAAUUUAAAAGAAAAGAAACAUAUUUAAGUACAAUUAAGAAAAUUACAGUGUUUCAGUUAAAGCAGUUCAGUGCUUUUUAGAAAAGGAGCUGAAAUUAAAUAAGUUGAACUUCCUCUCUUUUUAGAAGAAUGGAUUUCUCGGAGUCUGAAAAAUUUAUGGUUCUUCUCUGGAAGAAUUUUAUUUUAAAGAGGCGGCGAUGUAUUGCUUUAGUUGUGGAAAUGGUCCUCACAUUUCUGUUUAGUGCUGCGCUUUUGGCAACACGCUCUGUUAUUACUAUAAAUAAGAACGGACCUUUCGAUUUUGCUGCUCAGCCUGUCGAUGAAGUGCCUUUCUACAUCACAGCUUCCUUAAUUUCUCCUUCUCCUUUGGAAUUGGCUUACGUGCCUUCCAGAAGUACUGUGGUUCAGGGUAUUAUUGAAAGAGUGAAAAUGGAUUUAAACCCUCAAAUGAAAGGUUAGAAAUUAACAUUUUCUGAAAAAACAUACAGAAUUACUAAAUCGAUUUAGUGAAGACAUACUUACAACCUUAUUAACUGGUUCUUAACCUCCCAAGUAAAACAUCGUUGGAAUCCUCAUACUAAGUAUAAAUAUUAUGGACUUUGUUAAACUUGAAAGUUAAAUUUAUAUAAAAUAUUUUGUUCAUAGAGCCCAGAACAAAUAGUAAUAUUUCAAAAUGAGAUGACCAAUUAUUAUUAUUAUUCUAAGUUGUUAUCCAGUUUUGUGAUACUGUUUUUUCUAUCUGGUUGUGCUUCUUGAACCUGGGUAAGUAUACCUCCAGGGGUGUGUGAUUUUGUGCCACAGGUCAGUGGUCAGUUAUUUAAAAUAAUGUUUUAUAUUAAAAUGUGGUGUGAGUAAUAUAGGAAGGCUUUAGAAAACACUUAAGCUAUGUAGAAUUAUUUUAAAAGCCCUCAGUCUCUCACUUACCUUCAUAUUCCCGGAUCAGUUUCUUACCUCUUUCUCUUAGAGGUAAAUACUGUGAGAAGUUUAGGUCGGCCGGGCCCAGUGGCUCACGCCUGUAAUCCCAGCAUUUUGGGAGGCUGAGGUGGGCAGAUCACCUGAGGUCAGGAGUUCAAGACCAGCCUGGCCAACAUGGCAAAACCCCAUCUCUACUAAAAAUAUAAGAAUUAGCCAGACAUGGUGGUAUGCACCUAUAGUCCCAGCUACUUGGGAGGCUGAGGCAUGCGAAUUGCUUGAACCCAGGAGGAGGAGGAGGUUGCAGUGAGGUGAAAUUGCACCACUGCACUCCAGCCUGGGUGACAGACCAAGACUCUGUCUCAAAAAAAAAAAAAAAAAAGUUUGUGGGCAUCUCCCUAGCACACCUCUCUCUACACAUGUGCGUGCAUGUGCACACACACACACACACACACACACACACACAGUCAGGCAACUUUUCCAUCUUUUUUUGUCUUUCAAGAGAUAUGAGAGUCCUUGAGAGUAGAUGCCAUCUCAAAGCAUUCUUUUUUGUUGUUUGCUUUUUUUUAUCAAAGCAUUCUUUAAAAUAAAGACUGAAACAGGAGAAUAUGAAGUUCCCAGUAAUUUUUAAAUUCUACAACAAAAAUAUCUCAACAAAUUUAAAGUCUAUUAUGGGUUACUCCAAUAGUCGCUUUGGGUUACUCAAAAUAUUUUCUGAUUUCCACUCUGAUGUCUUCUUUGAUGCAUGGAAUUUCAAAAUUUUUAGAAAUGUGUUGCUGAACUUCCAAACACUGGGGGCUUCUUAUCUUUCUGUUGUUGAUUUCUGUUUUAAUUUCCUUUCAUCAGAGAGUAUACUCAAUUCCAGUUCUUUGACAUUUUGAGAACUGUUUAUGACUAGUACAUGGUAUAUUUUGAUAAAUGUUUUCUGUGAAUUUGUAAAAACUAUGUGUGCUAUAGGUUUUGCUUCUGGUGUUCUAUAAAUGCCACCUGGGCAAAGUUGGCUAAGU
ensembl:lncRNA novel transcript